rnacentral:rRNA from 1 species
GUCGAGCGGGAACUUCGGUUCUAGCGGCGGACGGGUGAGUAAUGCGUAGGAAGCUACCCGAUAGAGGGGGAUACCAGUUGGAAACGACUGUUAAUACCGCAUAAUGUCUACGGACCAAAGUGUGGGACCUUCGGGCCACAUGCUAUCGGAUGCGCCUACGUGGGAUUAGCUAGUUGGUGAGGUAAUGGCUCACCAAGGCGACGAUCCCUAGCUGGUUUGAGAGGAUGAUCAGCCACACUGGAACUGGGACACGGUCCAGACUCCUACGGGAGGCAGCAGUGGGGAAUAUUGGACAAUGGGCGCAAGCCUGAUCCAGCCAUGCCGCGUGUGUGAAGAAGGCCUUCGGGUUGUAAAGCACUUUCAGCGAGGAGGAAGGAGUUGUAGUUAAUAGCUGCAACUUUUGACGUUACUCGCAGAAGAAGCACCGGCUAACUCUGUGCCAGCAGCCGCGGUAAUACAGAGGGUGCAAGCGUUAAUCGGAAUUACUGGGCGUAAAGCGCACGCAGGCGGUUGGUUAAGUCAGAUGUGAAAGCCCCGGGCUCAACCUGGGAAUUGCAUUUGAAACUGGCCAACUAGAGUUCGUGAGAGGGGGGUAGAAUUCCAAGUGUAGCGGUGAAAUGCGUAGAGAUUUGGAGGAAUACCAGUGGCGAAGGCGGCCCCCUGGCACGAUACUGACGCUCAGGUGCGAAAGCGUGGGGAGCAAACAGGAUUAGAUACCCUGGUAGUCCACGCCGUAAACGAUGUCUACUA